GACAAAUUGCCCUGAGUCAGCUGCCAGGACAUGCCUACAGGCCAGACCGUGGGGGAUGAAUGGGACCAGAAGGGGCUGUUCUAAAAGAAACUCCAUUGGGGGAAAGAAGAUGGCCCUAUGAAGACAGAUGCACGCAGGGGGAGCACCAUGUGAUGACAAAGGCAGAGUUUGGAGUUAUGCAGCUGAGGGUCAAGGAGCUCCAAAGAUUUCCAGUGAACCACCAGAAUCUAAGAAGAGGUGUAAGUUUGAGGAUUAUGGGGAUUAAUACUAGUUCUCUUCCUCCCCGUCUCUUGCACGGCAAAUAGCUACUGGGCACUCUAUCUUCCGAUGGAAACGGACCUCAUUGGCAGAGCCCAGCUAGCUCCAGCCCCUCUCCUCCCUUGACUUUUUUUAAGAAGGAACAUUCAGCCUGGAGAACUGACAUUUGCUGCCAGAGGGGCUCAGAACGCAGUUCCCAAAGAUGUGUCCAGGGGAACCUCUGAUGCUAAAAUUCUGAGCAUCCAGAGUUCCAGGCAUCAGUGAUUCAAAUACUCUGAGGCGACAGUUCUGG
rnacentral:lncRNA from 1 species